UUGGAGGGCAAGUCUGGUGCCAGCAGCCGCGGUAAUUCCAGCUCCAAUAGCGUAUAUUAAAGUUGUUGCAGUUAAAAAGCUCGUAGUUGAAUUUCGGGGUCAAUAGGUUGGUCGUGCCAAUGGUAUGUACUGGCUUUAUUGAUUCCUACCUCUUGACGAACUGUGAUGCCAUUAAUUUGGUGUUGCAGGAAAUCAGGACUGUUACCUUGAAAAAAUUAGAGUGUUUAAAGCAGGCUUACGCUUGAAUACAUUAGCAUGGAAUAAUGAAAUAGGACGUUUGAACCUAUUUUGUUGGUUUCUAGGAUCGACAUAAUGAUUAAUAGGGAUAGUUGGGGGCAUUAGUAUUCAAUUGUCAGAGGUGAAAUUCUUGGAUUUAUUGAAGACUAACUACUGCGAAAGCAUUUGCCAAGGAUGUUUUCAUUAAUCAAGAACGAAAGUUAGGGGAUCGAAGACGAUCAGAUACCGUCGUAGUCUUAACCAUAAACUAUGCCGACUAGGGAUCGGAUGAUGUUAAUUUUUUAAUGACUCAUUCGGCGCCUUACGGGAAACCAAAGUGUUUGGGUUC
rnacentral:rRNA from 1 species